UACGAAGGGGGCUAGCGUUGUUCGGAAUUACUGGGCGUAAAGCGUGCGCAGGCGGCUUCUCAAGUCAGGGGUGAAAGCCCAGAGCUCAACUCUGGAAUUGCCUUUGAGACUGAGUGGCUUGAGUACGAGAGAGGUGAGUGGAAUUCCCAGUGUAGAGGUGAAAUGCGUAGAUAUCGGGAGGAACACCUGUGGCGAAAGCGGGCUCACUGGACCACAACUGACGCUGAUGCGCGAAAGCUAGGGGAGCAAACAGGG
rnacentral:rRNA from 1 species